rnacentral:lncRNA from 1 species
AGGCAAGAAAGGAUGAAGAGGAGGGCCCCGGGAAGAACCCUUUCUGAGAAUGUCUUCCCACAUUCCAGGUGAACUAUCCUGAGAUUUAGAGGCGGUUCCUCCUGCCCUGUCUCAGCAAGGCUGGCAGUGCAUCAGAAUCUCCCUGACAAGCUGUUUUUCAUUGUCCUCACAUCCCCAAAGCCCCAUCCUCAGAAGUUCCUGCAGGCUCUCCUGAGAAAGAACCAUCAAAACAGGUCAAGGAAAUCAAGGCUAAGUAAGCGUGGAGGUCACUGUGAGAAUUGUACGGGCAAGGAACAAUCAUUAGUGCAUCUUUGACAGAGACCACACCCCACACCCGAAUCAGGUGAAUGAUAUUCUAGGAGGAAAAGUCUGAAAAGCAAAAUCUUGCAAAGAAGUCUGUGGGGUCUCAGCAAUAUGCAUAGCAGCAGAGAAAUGUUGCUCCAGGAGUGAAUGGUCAGUUGGGGAACAGACUGGAUAUUGUCAGACAAUCAGCAGAAGAUGGAAGUGCAUAAGGAUAUGAGAAAGACAGUGAAUUGCAGGCGUGGCUACCUCUGGCUAAUAGGCUAUUGCCAAUUUCUCGUGUUGGAAGAAAUUAAAAUUUACAUGAACAAAUGAGAUUCAUUUGCAUAAAUUUACAUGUAGAUGUGGUAGUGUAAGAUCUUGACCAUUAGUUGUAAGUAUACAAAGUCUACUUUCAUGGAUGGUGAUUAAUAAAUUCUUUUCAAGUAAUUCCUUUAUGUUUCUUACCUCAGUUUAAAAACCUAGUCAGAUUUUGGUUGUAUCUGGUGAUGUCAGCAUUAGCCACACUCACAGCCAAGUUCUAUAGGCUUGGAUGGCUACAGCAGCAUGGCAGUGAGGCAAGGGACAAGCACUGACAUCCAAAAGCUGCUGGUGAGAAGCUGGGUUAGCCUUUUACUUGCAGCUGUCCUAAACCUAGGUCCCAAGGUACUUGACUGCACACUGCUCUUGUCCCCAAAGGCCUGGAAAAUUUGGGGGUUUACUCCUCUUUGCUCAGUAUCCAUUUCUUCAACCCUCUCCCUGUGUCUUCCAUUACUCUGGUGCACACAUGCACGUGCACAUACACAAAUUUACUAACAUGCACACACAUGGGCCUAUCUCAUCUCUCUUGCUCUCGCUCUCUCGUUACCACU